UACGGGGGGGGCAAGCGUUGUUCGGAAUUACUGGGCGUAAAGGGCUCGUAGGCGGCCAACUAAGUCGGAUGUGAAAUCCCCAGGCUCAACUUGGGAACUGCAUCCGAUACUGGAUGGCUUGAAUCCGGGAGAGGGAUGCGGAAUUCCAGGUGUAGCGGUGAAAUGCGUAGAUAUCUGGAGGAACACCGGUGGCGAAGGCGGCAUCCUGGACCGGUAUUGACGCUGAGGCGCGAAAGCCAGGGGAGCAAACGGG
rnacentral:rRNA from 1 species